rnacentral:rRNA from 1 species
CUGGCGAGCGCCUGUCAGAGGACCUACAAAAUCUGUGUUAGUGUUGUCUGAGUAUCAUUUAAUAAUUAAAACUUUCAACAACGGAUCUCUUGGUUCUGGCAUCGAUGAAGAACGCAGCGAAAUGCGAUAAGUAAUGUGAAUUGCGGAAUUCAGUGAAUCAUCGAAUCUUUGAACGCACAUUGCGCCCUCUGGUAUUCCGGAGGGCAUGCCUGUUCGAGCGUCAUAAGACCACUCAAGCCCAGCUUGGUGUUGGGACGCGCCCCGGCGCUCCUCAAAAUCAGUGGCGGCUCGGCUCAGCUUCAUGCGUAGUAAAAUGUCUCGCUAUGGACGCUGGGCUGGCGCCUGCCAGAAGCCUAAUUUUUACAGGUUGACCUCGGAUCAGGUAGG